rnacentral:rRNA from 1 species
GACGAACGCUGGCGGCGUGCUUAACACAUGCAAGUCGAACGGUGAAGCUCCAGCUUGCUGGAGUGGAUCAGUGGCGAACGGGUGAGUAACACGUGAGCAACCUGCCCCUGACUCUGGAAUAAGCGCUGGAAACGGCGUCUAAUACUGGAUACGAGAAGGGUCCGCAUGGGCACUUUCUGGAAAGUUUUUCGGUUGGGGAUGGGCUCGCGGCCUAUCAGCUUGUUGGUGUGGUAAUGGCUCACCAAGGCGACGACGGGUAGCCGGCCUGAGAGGGCGACCGGCCACACUGGGACUGAGACACGGCCCAGACUCCUACGGGAGGCAGCAGUGGGGAAUAUUGCACAAUGGGCGAAAGCCUGAUGCAGCGACGCCGCGUGAGGGAUGACGGCCUUCGGGUUGUAAACCUCUUUCAGCAGGGAAGAAGCGAAAGUGACGGUACCUGCAGAAGAAGCACCGGCUAACUACGUG